rnacentral:rRNA from 1 species
AUUGAACGCUGGCGGCAGGCCUAACACAUGCAAGUCGAGCGAGCGGCGGACGGGUGAGUAAUGUAUGGGGAUCUGCCCGAUAGAGGGGGCUAACUACUGGAAACGGUGGCUAAUACCGCAUACCAUCAGAUGAACCCAUAUGGGAUUAGCUUGUAGGUGAGGUAACGGGUCACCUAGGCGACGAUCCCUAGCUGGUCUGAGAGGAUGAUCAGCCACACUGGGACUGAGACACGGCCCAGAAUCCUACGGGAGGCAGCAGUGGGGAAUAUUGCACCAUGGGCGCAAGCCUGAUGCAGCCAUGCCGCGUGUAUGAAGAAGGCCUUAGGGUUGUAAAGUACUUUCAGCGGGGAGGCGUUACCCGCAGAAGAAGCACCGGCUAACUCCGUGCCAGCCGCCGCGGUAAUAC